GGGUGGUCUGGCUGCAGUGUCUGUGGCCCCACCGAUCACCAGGCUGAUUUGACUGCUCUGCCUGACUAGGCAUGUGUUCCAUUCCUGGACCAGCACUCCCAGUGCUUCCCUCCCAAAGCUGUGUGCUGGUUCAAAAGGGGACAACCUUCCCCCAAUAAAGAAGAACCAAUUUUCAAUCAAGGGGAUACAAGUGCCUACUAGAACCAACAAGCUCUCAGGGGUCUUAAAUCAUAAUUUUUACUAUACAAAGCAGAUUUGUUGUCGCCAAUUUCCCAGAAAACUCAGACUCAUCCUUGACAAUGCUCAGGGUCUCUGUCUCCCAUUUAGUCACUGGUU
rnacentral:snRNA from 1 species